AUUGAACGCUGGCGGCAGGCCUAACACAUGCAAGUCGGGCGAGUGGCGGACGGGUGAGUAAUGUAUGGGGAUCUGCCUGAUGGAGGGGGAUAACUACUGGAAACGGUAGCUAAUACCGCAUACCAUCAGAUGAACCCAGAUGGGAUUAGCUAGUAGUUGGGGUAACGGGUCACCUAGGCGACGAUCCCUAGCUGGUCUGAGAGGAUGAUCAGCCACACGGGAACGGCGACACGGCCCAGACUCCUACGGGAGGCAGCAGUGGGGAAUAUUGCACAAUGGGAGCAAGCCUGAUGCAGCCAUGCCGCGUGUAUGAAGAAGGCCUUCGGGUUGUAAAGUACUUUCAGUCGGGAGGCGUUACCGGCAGAAGAAGCACCGGCUAACUCCGUGCCAGCAGCCGCGGUAAUAC
rnacentral:rRNA from 1 species